ACGGUAGCUAAUACCGCAUAACGUCGCAAGACCAAAGAGGGGGACCUUCGGGCCUCUUGCCAUCGGAUGUGCCCAGAUGGGAUUAGCUAGUAGGUGGGGUAAAGGCUCACCUAGGCGACGAUCCCUAGCUGGUCUGAGAGGAUGACCAGCCACACUGGAACUGAGACACGGUCCAGACUCCUACGGGAGGCAGCAUG
rnacentral:rRNA from 1 species